UGAAAAUGGUGUCCUCACUUGUUUUGCUGCAACAUGCUUGAAUUGGCCUUGCAUUGCCCUGCUGGAUCCCUUUGUUCAGUUCAUCAGGUGGUAAGUAUAUAAGCCUGUUUCUUUUUCUUGUGUUAGGCUCAUUGCAACAUGAUAUCUAGUCCUACAAACCCAAUGUGUUGGUGGCUUUCAAUUGACUUGUUGCAGGCCUUGAGCAUUUGUUAGCUUAAUCAAAUGGAUCUUUACACAACAACCUCAUAGACUUAUGGUGCACUGGUUUUGCAGGCUGCUGUCAUCACUUAGUGGCAUAAUCAUGGCCUUGUAGGAAUUUGUUGACAGGAUAUUGUAGUAGCAGGUAUGAGGAUUAUGGUAAUUGUGUCUUUGUAACAUGUUUUCUACUGCAGUUUU
rnacentral:lncRNA from 1 species